rnacentral:rRNA from 1 species
GACGAACGCUGGCGGCGUGCCUAAUACAUGCAAGUAGAACGCUGAAGCUUGGUGCUUGCACCGAGCGGAUGAGUUGCGAACGGGUGAGUAACGCGUAGGUAACCUGCCUGGUAGCGGGGGAUAACUAUUGGAAACGAUAGCUAAUACCGCAUAAGAGUAGAUGUUGCAUGACAUUUGCUUAAAAGGUGCAAUUGCAUCACUACCAGAUGGACCUGCGUUGUAUUAGCUAGUUGGUGAGGUAACGGCUCACCAAGGCAACGAUACAUAGCCGACCUGAGAGGGUGGUCGGCCACACUGGGACUGGGACACGGCCCAGACUCCUACGGGAGGCAGCAGUAGGGAAUCUUCGGCAAUGGACGGAAGUCUGACCGAGCAACGCCGCGUGAGUGAAGAAGGUUUUCGGAUCGUAAAGCUCUGUUGUAAGAGAAGAACGAGUGUGAGAGUGGAAAGUUCACACUGUGACGGUAUCUUACCAGAAAGGGACGGCUAACUACGUG